UUUGAUCCUNGNUCAGAUUGAACGCUGGCGGCAGGCCUAACACAUGCAAGUCGAACGGUAACAGGAAGCAGCUUGCUNNUUNGCUGACGAGUGGCGGACGGGUGAGUAAUGUCUGGGAAACUGCCUGAUGGAGGGGGAUAACUACUGGAAACGGUAGCUAAUACCGCAUAACGUCGCAAGACCAAAGAGGGGGACCUUCGGGCCUCUUGCCAUCGGAUGUGCCCAGAUGGGAUUAGCUNGUNGGUGGGGUAACGGCUCACCNAGGCGACGAUCCCUAGCUGGUCUGAGAGGAUGACCAGCCACACUGGAACUGAGACACGGUCCAGACUCCUACGGGAGGCAGCAGUGGGGAAUAUUGCACAAUGGGCGCAAGCCUGAUGCAGCCAUGCCGCGUGUAUGAAGAAGGCCUUCGGGUUGUAAAGUACUUUCAGCGGGGAGGAAGGGAGUAAAGUUAAUACCUUUGCUCAUUGACGUUACCCGCAGAAGAAGCACCGGCUAACUCCGUGCCAGCAGCCGCGG
rnacentral:rRNA from 1 species